GUCCUGCUCCUGCCCCAUGGCCAUCCAGACUGGCCGGGACGCUCGGCAUGAUCACGGCACAACUACUCUGGGGGACCUGAGAUGACGGUACGGCCAACCCCGAACCCUGCUGGUCCCGGAGCCAGGGAAAAAGAACACCUGUGCCAAAGGAUGUCCCAGCACUUUGGAAACUCCCUCCUGCAAGUGAGCCCUCCACCGCAUCAGUCAGAGCAAGUCUCAUGACCUCGCCCACGCAAGCAGGUAGAUGCCUCCAGAGCGAAUCUACGGCCAGAGAAGGAAACGCAUAGAAAAUCUACAGUCUCAACUGGAACUCUGACAAGUGAAGAAACGACAGGCUGAAAGCUGAUCACACAAAACCGUUUAGCUUCUGUACCCAAAAACUAUCGUCGAUACCAUGAGACCUGAGCCUCUUCCCCAUCUACAAAUGUGUCAAGUGCCAAGAAAUAAACUAGCUUUCUUUUGAAGAUAAGAUAAUCCAUAAAACUAGCAUGGGACCUGGGUGCUUUCUACGCAAAGAAGAACUGCAUAAAGAUUAAAUUCCAUUUUUACCAGCCAGGUUAUCAGAAACGAACUCAUUAAUGUAUAUUCUCUCCACUGACAAUUAAAAUGAAUUCUUUUCAUGAA